rnacentral:rRNA from 1 species
AAGCAGGGGAUCGUAAGGCCUUGCCCUUUUGGAGCGGCCGAUGUCUGAUUAGCUAGUUGGUGGGGUAAAGGCCUACCAAGGCGACGAUCAGUAGUUGGUCUGAGAGGACGACCAGCCACACUGGGACUGAGACACGGCCCAGACUCCUACGGGAGGCAGCAGUGGGGAAUUUUGGACAAUGGGCGAAAGCCUGAUCCAGCAAUGCCGCGUGAGUGAAGAAGGCCUUCGGGUUGUAAAGCUCUUUCAGUCGAGAAGAAAAGGUUGUGAUGAAUAAUCACAACUCAUGACGGUAUCGACAGAAGAAGCACCGGCUAACUACGUGCCAGCAGCCGCGGUAAUACGUAGGGUGCAAGCGUUAAUCGGAAUUACUGGGCGUAAAGGGUGCGCAGGCGGCUUUGUGAGUCAGAUGUGAAAUCCCCGGGCUUAACCUGGGAAUUGCGUUUGAAACUACAAAGCUAGA